CAUGCAAGUCGAACGAAGUAGCAAUACUUAGUGGCAGACGGGUGAGUAACAUGUAGGUAUCUGCCCUUUGGCCUGGAAUAACACGAGGAAACUUGUGCUAAUACCGGAUAAGUCUUUACGGAGAAAGCUUUAUGCACCAUUGGAUGAGCCUGCACUUGAUUAGUUUGUUGGUGGGGUAAUGGCCUACCAAGACUGUGAUCAAUAGCUGAUUUGAGAGGAUGAUCAGCCACAUUGGGACUGAGACACGGCCCAAACUCCUACGGGAGGCAGCAGUGGGGAAUCUUGCACAAUGGAGGAAACUCUGAUGCAGCGAUGCCGCGUGAGUGAAGAAGGCCUUUGGGUUGUAAAGCUCUUUCGUCGGGGAAGAAAAUGACUGUACCCGAAUAAGAAGGUCCGGCUAACUUCGUGCCAGCAGCCGCGGUGAUACGAAGGGACCUAGCGUAGUUCGGAAUUACUGGGCUUAAAGAGUUCGUAGGUGGUUGAAAAAGUUGGUGGUGAAAUCCCAGAGCUUAACUCUGGAACUGCCAUCAAAACUUUUCAGCUAGAGUAUGAUAGAGGAAAGCAGAAUUUCUAGUGUAGAGGUGAAAUUCGUAGAUAUUA
rnacentral:rRNA from 1 species